rnacentral:rRNA from 1 species
AACGAACGCUGGCGGCAUGCCUAACACAUGCAAGUCGAACGAGACCUUCGGGUCUAGUGGCGCACGGGUGCGUAACGCGUGGGAACCUGCCCUUAGGUUCGGAAUAACUCCCCGAAAGGGGUGCUAAUACCGGAUAAUGUCUUCGGACCAAAGAUUUAUCGCCUUUGGAUGGGCCCGCGUUGGAUUAGCUAGUUGGUAGGGUAAAAGCCUACCAAGGCGACGAUCCAUAGCUGGUUUGAGAGGAUGAUCAGCCACACUGGGACUGAGACACGGCCCAGACUCCUACGGGAGGCAGCAGUGGGGAAUAUUGGACAAUGGGCGAAAGCCUGAUGCAGCAAGGCCGCGUGAGUGAUGAAGGCCUUAGGGUUGUAAAGCUCUUUUACCCGGGAUGAUAAUGACAGUACCGGGAGAAUAAGCUCCGGCUAACUCCGUG